rnacentral:piRNA from 1 species
UGCAGUCAGGCUGAAGGGCGUUUA